GAUGAAGAACGCAGCGAAAUGCGAUACUUGGUGUGAAUUGCAGAAUCCCGUGAACCAUCGAGUCUUUGAACGCAAGUUGUGCCCGAAGCCACUAGGCCGAGGGCACGCCUGCCUGGGUAUCACACGUCGUUGCCCCCCCCCCAUCUACUCCUUCGGGAUUGCGGGGGGCGGAUGAUGGCCUCCCGUGCGCCUAGCCGCGCGGUUGGCAUAAAUACCAAGUCCUCGGCGACGCACGCCACGACAAUCGGUGGUUGCGAAACCUCGGUUGCCCGUCGUGUGCGUUCGUCGCGCAUCGAGGGCUCGAAAAAAUGCUCGGCUCCGGCUCGGCUUUCAACGCGACCCCAGGUCAGGCGGGGUUACUCGCUGAAUUUAAGCAUAUCAAUAAGCGGAGGA
rnacentral:misc_RNA from 1 species